CCUACGGGAGGCAGCAGUGAGGAAUAUUGGUCAAUGGACGAGAGUCUGAACCAGCCAAGCAGCGUGAAGAAUGAAUGCCCUAUGGGUUGCAAACUUCUUUUAUAUGGGAAUAAAACAGCGUAUUCAUCCCCUCUUGUAUGUACCAUAUGAAUAAGCAUCGGCUAACUCCGUGCCAGCAGCCGCGGUAAUACGGAGGAUCCGAGCGUUAUCCGGAUUUAUUGGGUUUAAAGGGCGCGUAGGUGGAUUGUUAAGGCAGUUGUGAAAGUUUGGGGCUCAACCGUACAAUUGCAGUUGAAACUGGCAGUCUUGAGUACAGUAGAGGUAGGCGGAAUUCGGGGUGUAGCGGUGAAAUGCUUAGAUAUCGCGAAGAACGCCGAUUGCGAAGGCAGCGCGCUGGACUGCAACUGACACUGAGGCACGAAAGUGUGGGGAUCAAACAGGAUUAGAUACCCUUGUAGUC
rnacentral:rRNA from 1 species